rnacentral:rRNA from 1 species
CCUACGGGGGGCUGCAGUGGGGAAUAUUGGACAAUGGGCGCAAGCCUGAUCCAGCAAUACCGCGUGUGUGAAGAAGGCCUGAGGGUUGUAAAGCACUUUCAAUGGGAAGGAACACCUAUCGGUUAAUACCCGGUAGACUGACAUUACCCAUACAAGAAGCACCGGCUAACUCCGUGCCAGCAGCCGCGGUAAUACGGAGGGUGCAAGCGUUAAUCGGAAUUACUGGGCGUAAAGCGUGCGUAGGCGGUUUUUUAAGUCAGAUGUGAAAGCCCUGGGCUUAACCUGGGAACUGCAUUUGAUACUGGGGAACUAGAGUUGAGUAGAGGAGAGUGGAAUUUCAGGUGUAGCGGUGAAAUGCGUAGAGAUCUGAAGGAACACCAGUGGCGAAGGCGGCUCUCUGGACUCAAACUGACGCUGAGGUACGAAAGCGUGGGUAGCAAACAGGAUUAGAUACCCCGGUAGUC